rnacentral:sRNA from 1 species
AACUAUAUGUGUGACAAAUUUAAACUUUAUUUUUAUUUGAGGUGCCUAUUCGUUUUGCAUUCAUGGUCAACACGGUUAAAAAAAUACAACAGAGCGGAGAAUUUGAUGUUAUAGAAAAUAAAUAAAGUAAAAAUAAAAUUUCACCGCAAAAUCUCGACAAGGAUGUCAUGCAGACAGGCAUUAAAAAUAAAGCAGCAAAUUGUGGGUUGUUAAUAGGCCUGCGGAGUCUGACCCUUGACUCCUACGUCGGGCCAGAGUCGGAAACUACAGUUGUUUAUUCCUAAAAUAAGGAGCAAUACAUUGACAAGAUCGUACUUGGUGAGAAUAGCACGACGUUGGAAUCGGCUUCUUCAUGAAUCACGCAUUUUUUCUCAAUCUAACAACGUUUUUCGACUAAAAUUGCUAAAAUUCUGAUCUUGUGAUCUAUUUCUUGAUUUUUGUGCACUGGGACCAAUAUUGUUACUCUCAACCUUUCGGCGUUAUUCCGCAAUCUCGACAGAGCGGGGUUGGUUUUAUCCCAGACAUUUAAUAUGCAUAAUACACACCAAUGUGAACUGCUCGUUUCAGCCCAAAAGACCGAUCGAGGUCACCUUAUUAAUUUGAUUAUAAAAUCAAACAACGAAAUUAUAAAUAUAUAAGAAAUUUGAAUCUGUAUUUUAA